rnacentral:tRNA from 2 species
AAAUAGGUAAGCUAAAAAAGCUACUGGGUUCAUACCCCACUUAUAAAGGUCUAUUCCUUUCUUAUUUA